ACAUGCAAGUCGAACGGAGCUUAGAGAGCUUGCUUUUUAAGCUUAGUGGCGAACGGGUGAGUAACGCGUGAGUAACCUGCCCUAGAGUGGGGGACAACAGUUGGAAACGACUGCUAAUACCGCAUAAGCCCACGGUGCCGCAUGACACUGAGGGAAAAGGAUUUAUUCGCUUUAGGAUGGACUCGCGUCCAAUUAGCUAGUUGGUGAGGUAACGGCCCACCAAGGCGACGAUUGGUAGCCGGACUGAGAGGUUGAACGGCCACAUUGGGACUGAGACACGGCCCAGACUCCUACGGGAGGCAGCAGUGGGGGAUAUUGCACAAUGGGGGAAACCCUGAUGCAGCGACGCCGCGUGGAGGAAGAAGGUUUUCGGAUUGUAAACUCCUGUCGUUAGGGACGAUAAUGACGGUACCUAACAAGAAAGCACCGGCUAACUACGUGCCAGCAGCCGCGGUAAAACGUAGGGUGCAAGCGUUGUCCGGAAUUACUGGGUGUAAAGGGAGCGCAGGCGGGAAGACAAGUUGGAAGUGAAAACCAUGGGCUCAACCCAUGAAUUGCUUUCAAAACUGUUUUUCUUGAGUAGUGCAGAGGUAGAUGGAAUUCCCGGUGUAGCGGUGGAAUGCGUAGAUAUCGGGAGGAACACCAGUGGCGAAGGCGGUCUACUGGGCACUAACU
rnacentral:rRNA from 1 species